UUUUUGUGCCCAUUUGAAGCGCCAAUAUCGUCUAAGCGAGUGUCCACAGAACUAAAUUUGACGUAUUUUCAAAUGGCUGUGAGAGGUGUUUGUUUACUUAAAUUAAUCAUGCAUUUUUAAAUAAUUUGGUUGUAAUUUUAUGUUGUUAUUGUGAUAAGCAUUAUAAUCAAGAAUGAGGUCAUGUGUAUAUUGCAAGAGACGCUACAAAAAAGACAGUCACAUAUCAUUUCACAGACUUCCAAAAGAUUUGGAGGAAAAAAAAGUUUGGCUUCAAAACAUGAAAACCCACAACUGGACUCCUAAAACAUAUAAUUAUCUAUGUUCACUACAUUUCAAUGACGAAUGUUUUGUCAAACAUUUCAAUAGAACAGCAUUGAAACCAGGUAGCAUUCCGACAAUAUUUGAAGGAACAUCUACCUUUGCAUCAUCGCCUCAUCCGUCAAUGACUACAUCUUCGCCUCGUCCGUCAACGUCUACAUCUUCGCCUCGUUCGACAGCGUCUACGUUAUUGCCUAGUCCGUUAACUACAAAGAGUGCUACAAAAUCAGCUAAUAUACAUACUAGUUCAGCCAAACGAAAAUUACUUUGUGAUGCAAAUAUUUUAGAAUUAUCGGAUCAGUCAAAGAGGGAUCAAGAACAGCUUACUUAUCAUGAUUAUGAAGUCUCAUCAACUCCUAAAAAGGCAAGAAUCGAAGUUGGAUUGUUACAUGACCAUUGUUAUGAAAUUACACCAAGAUCAUUAAAAACAGUUGCCCAGCAAACAAGAAGAUCCUUAAAAUUUGCAAAAGUAAAAGUAAAAACUUUAAGCCAGCGUGUAAGGAGGUUGGAAUUAAAAAUAACCAACCUCAAAAGUGUCAUAAAUGAUUUAAUUUAAAAAAAUAAGGUGUCGGAAGAAUGCAUACAAAUGUUAAAACAGCAUAAUGACUUCCAAAUGGCACUUUUUAAUAGAGUGUUU